rnacentral:rRNA from 1 species
GACGAACCGUGCGAACGUUGUUCGGAAUCACUGGGCUUAAAGGGCGCGUAGGCGGGCUGUUAAGUCUGGGGUGAAAUCCCACGGCUCAACCGUGGAACUGCCUCAGAUACUGACGGCCUCGAGGGAGAUAGGGGCGAGCGGAACUGUGAGUGGAGCGGUGAAAUGCGUUGAUAUUCACAGGAACUCCGGUGGCGAAGGCGGCUCGCUGGAUCUCUUCUGACGCUGAGGCGCGAAAGCCAGGGGAGCAAACAGG